CGGGCGUCCAGGCCGGGUCUGCCGAGCCCUCCGUGCCCCAGGCCGACCUCGCGCGGCCCCGCGCCCGAGCUGAGGAUGUCCGGCCGCCGGGAGUCGCUGUUCUGCAGGAUGCCUGCGGGGCUGUUUUCGGUUCGCGCUCAGCGUGCGGUGUUUACCGUAAGCUCCGUCUCAAACCUGCGCGAGCGGCGGCUGCCUGGGGAGGACAGGUUUUGCGGAGACCCAUUUCCCUGCCUCACACGGAGCCAAGGCCGAUCGAGAGACAGUCCCUUUAGGUUUUCUCUGCGGGGCAAACUACCAGAGCUCAGACCCCGGGGGGCUCCCAAGGGCAGAUGGGGUCUCCUGCCACCCUCGGGUUGUGGCCGGGGGUGCGGCGCGAACCCCUCCCUGGGCGUCCUGUGCCACGUGCUGGGCCAGCAGGCUGUGGGCAGAGGCCACGCAGCCUGGGGUGUGCUGCGGAGCGGGGCUCGGCCUCUCGCGCUUUGCCACUGCCGAGAGCAUCCCCGGCCCGUGCGUCCGUCUGGGAGGCGGGAGGCGCGUGGGGCAGACGUGGCCCCACCUGGAGCUUGGAACCCCCUCCAGCUGCGCUGAGCCGGUGAGCGAGGUCUUCACACACUGAGCGUCCCGUCCCUUCAGAGCGUUAGUAUGGCCGUGGCCGGUCUAGAGGAUCAGGCUGCAAAGCGGAGGGGGCCCUGAGCAGUUACCGCCUGUGAGGCGCCCGCCGCUGUGCGCCCAGCCCCUUCCCAGGGCUCCAGCUCCUUGGGAACUUGGGUUUUGUGGGGUCACCCACUGGGUUCCACGGCUCUGUCUCCUCCACCGCGCACAGCGGUCAGGAACCGAGACCAGUAAUUGGGUGAGCCUCAGGCUCUUGCUGGCCCCUCUGAACUUGAGGCCUUGCUUCAAUUUGGAGCUAUCGGAAUUUUCCUUUUUGGUUCAAUUGUACAUUUAAAGUGAAUUUUUAAAAAAUACACAUCAUCCAGCAGUUUCAGAUUCAGUAGCAGGCGGCGCUUCAAAGCAGGCCAAGCCCUGGCCCCUACCUGAGGCGCCCAGCCAAGGGCCUGCAGCAGGUGCAGGCGCGCCUCUCCCCUACGCUCGCCAGAGGGCAGCAUGGAGCUGCGCGAAGCCCAGGGCAUGGGCCCGACCUAGGACACCUCUCCCUGGGAGGGGCGCGUUGGCCAGCCCCUUUCUCCCCCAGGUCUCUCUGUGCCUGUUUGAGCCCAGCCGUGAGCUCUGCGCUGUGACGACCGCACAAGAGCCAUCUGUACAUAGGCCACUGCGCUGACCCUGCUGAAGAUCCCGAGAUGUCCCAGCCCCGCCAUCACCAGGACACUGCCACGGCCCCGGCCCUGCGCACCGCCAGCCGCCUGGUGAAGGAGGUCCACGGCUCUGAAACCCAGCGCAGGGGAAGGAGGAUGGUGGAGCAGGGCUCGUGUCGUGGGGGCUCCCGGGGGUGCCCAGGAUGGGGGCCUACCCCGUGCCGUGACCCAGAAGUGCUCAGAGGGGCCUGUGCUCACACUGCCUGGUCCAGAGCCCACCCCCCACCCCGAGGAGCCCCUGGUGGAGCUGGGGUGUCGUCAGAGGUCAAACGAGCAGCUGAGGGCUGAGCCUGGACCUCUACCACAGGGUAAGGAUGGGACCUGCUCGCGGGCCUUGGGGUACCCUGGGGCUGCAGCACAAGGCGGUGGUACCUCAGGUAGCUGACGCCCAUCAGGCUGCUGCCGUUCACUUCCAGGAUGCGGUCUCCCAGGGACAGCCGGCCAUCCGACGCUGCAGGGCUACCCGGGAGCAGGGUCUGGAUGUAGAGCCCAGGGGAGCCCAGCGGCGUGUGCUGGGGGGAGAAGCAGCGGCCUCAGGGCGCCGUGGUCUUCAGUGUGUCUGCGAGGGCAGCCCUGGACACCAUCACAGCCCCCAAGGACCGAGGUGACGCUGCACGCUCUUCCCUCCUCCCGGAUUCCUGAGAACUGCCCACGCCCCAAGCCCCUGGUCCCCAGCCCUCCUCUCCUGGUGAGCUCUCACGCUGCGGGCCUGUGCAGAGGGACAACUCACCAUCCCGUCGAUCAGGCCCAUCCCCAGUCCAGAGGGGCCCCGCUCCAGCUCCACCACAAAGACAUAGCAGAAGUCCUCGGUGCUGGAGCUGUGGCUGGAGGGGGCGGCCGGGGGCUCGUCCUCGUGACCCGCCCCAUCUCCUGGGUGGGCAAGGAGACGUGCCACUGUCUACGCUGCCGCAGCAGCCCACCCCAAGCCCAGAGGCGGUGCUCACACAGCUCCUGUCGGGGGGAGGGUCUGGACUCCGUCUGUGGGCAAUGCCCCCGUGUGCCUUUGGGGCACGUCCACCCCCCCCCUUGCAGCUGCCCCAGGACACCAGCCCCUGUCAGAGGCUGGCUAGUGCCAGUGGCUGAGCGGUGGGCUCUGCCCACGGUCCCCCCAGGCUCCCUCUCUCCUGCCACAGAACUCUCCUGAGACCCUCCCCAGGCCCCCUGCCCAGUACUGGGACCCCCAGAAAGCCUGCCCUUUCUUGACUGGGGCCACCGUGAGGGUGGAGGGUUGCAUCAGUUCUCUCUUCAGGUCAGGUCAGGGCUUCGGGCAGAGCUUGCAGCCCCCAUCUCCGCACCGCUGAGCAGGUAUCCUGCCUCCGGCCUGGCUCGGCCUGGCUGUGCCUGUGCUCAGGCCACACUCCGCGGUCUGCAGCACUGUCGGGGGCUGUUCUGCCCCCAUCCAGCCCCCGGGGAGGGGGGCACACACGCCCUGCCUCCUCCCUGCCCCCCUGCCUCACACCUCCUCCCAUGUGUCACCUGAGUCCUCUCUCCCUCCGCCCUGAGUGUGGAGACUCAGUCCCAUCUGUGCAUGGUCCAGCUGCCCACCCCGUCUGGCGUCCCAGGCUAUAGGGUUCCCGGGCAGGUACUAAAAGCCCAGGCCAGACAGGCCCCCGGGACCUCAUUGGUGGAAUGACCCAAAGGGGAUCAGCCCAGGUGCCAGCAGGGCUGGGGUACAGGGCCUCACCUUCUGGAGCUGCCCCCCGGGAGCCACUUUGUCCGUUCCUCCUCCCUUCCAGGAGUGCUUGCCCACAGGUGCCACCAGGCUCUGGCCAGUCAGGGACAGCGGGCUCGAGGCCGAGUGGGGUGCCGGGAGGCGUGAGCAGGCACGAGGAGUCUGCCUGCAGGGGGCCAGCCUGGGGGCCCCCGCGGCUCUGCCUUCCCGGAGGGCCCUGUGCUCGGGGAGCCCCUGAGGAAGGAAGAGCGCGCAUCUGGCUGGCUUCACGGGCUCCCCUGGAAACCAGCGGGCAGCUCUGGCCCUCUGGGUGCCCUUCCGGGGUGGUGUGGUGUGGGCCCUGGAGGCAGGGGAGAGGGAAAAAGUUCAGGUAUUGACAGGCUGACAGGAGGGGCCCAACGUGGUGGGAGAACCAGAGGGGUCUCCCCAGCCUUCUGCAGCCGGGGCUCCACGAGCUGCCCAGGGCAGCAGCCAGGCCCUGUGUCGGACCCAGGUACCUGGAGGUACUCUGGCUGGGACGGCCCACCCCCAGGACUGGGUUUGCUGCGCAGGCUCCACAGGAAGUGGCGGAUGUAGAGGAGGUGCUGGUAGAUGCUGUCAUCCAGGCAAUCUGCUUCCAGAUCCACCUGGAAGCCCUCACUGGGCAAAACGAUAGGCGGGGGGUUUUCAUAGGACUCCAGGACAUCCUCUGCGGGGGAGGGACACACUGUGACCGGCCUGGCCAAAACAAAACUUCCUGCCCCUUACCAGGCUCACCCACCACCCCUGCCCAAUACUGUAGGGACUAGGGUCACAGCAGUGGGGCAUUCAGGCGAAGGCAGCUGCCCACACCAGCUCUCAGCCCUUCAGUCCCAGUGACCACCCAGGAUGAAGCCCAAGCUCCCAGGGAGGACACGGCCCUGCCAAGUGGAACCUCUGCCUCACCCCCAGCUCCACCCGCCCCUCUGGGCACUCCCGGCCUGUGCUGACUGCAUUCCGCAUGUGUCACCGUGAUCCAUUAGCUGGUGGCACGUGUCUGUACUAGAACAGGAGCCCGGUCCGACAGCAAGAAGGCCAGCACCCACACAAUUUGGGGCUCCUGGCAGAGAGCCUCCCAUGCGGCCGGCCUCAGGAGUGAGGAGGGGCCCAGGGUCCCGCUCAGACCACUGGCUCCAUCCAGGCCAAGGCUCCAGGUGAUAGGGGCACAGCAGAAUGUCGCCCACGGCCUUAUUUCUAGCUGCACUUUCUACCUUCUUUUAAUUUCCAUCUCUGUAUCACGAUGUCGUGCAACGAAAAGAGGUGGGCAUCUAUUUGUAAAUCACACGUAUAUGCACAUACAGAGGCCCAUGUCCACUGUGUGGGGCAAGCACACCACCUCCCCCUCAGUGUGGGGACCUGCUCUCCUCCUGGUGGGUGGUGCACAGAGCAAGGCCCCAUCCUUGCGCUCCUCGAUGGGGAGGGGACCUCUGGCCUGACCCAGAGGUUGGAACUGGGCCAUGGACUGUAGACUCUGACAUCCAGCUGUGGGAUCUCAGAGUCCCUAGGCAGGGGACAGACCCAGGCACUCAGGAGGAAGAUGGCCCCAGAUGCUCUGCGGGCUCCUCUAGGGAAGUCCCCCAGGGAGGCUCCCCUUUGCCCCCAACACAGCCCACAGGACCCCUUGCUCCUGCCCCUGGGACGGCAGCUCACCUGACUUGAAGGCAUCGGGGCUGUCCUGGGCACCCGGCUCCCAGGCGCUCAUGGGGCCCAUGGCCGAGGCCAGCUGGUACUGAGUCAGCAGCCGGUGCAGCUGUGCGGGGCUCAGGGUGGGGAACGCAGCCCGCAGGUUUGCCCAGCUCAUCUGGGUGACAAGAAGGAGCUUGUGGUCAAGACCCCUGGGGGGGCACAGCUACACCCCCAGGGAGGGUCUGCCGGGCACUCUGCGGGCAGGGGCAGAGGCCUGUAAGGGCUGAUGAGGCCAGCAAGGGGGUCAAAGCCCCAGAGGUGGCCGUUCCUAGGGGCCAGCAGGCACCACACCGCACGCUGUGCCCCCGACAUGCCUCUCACCGCAUCGUGGCAGGGCCGAGAAGGGAGGGAAGGAGCCCUGGGGACACAGGGCAAGAGAAACGGGAUUCCUGCCUCACGGCAUGGAAGAGUCGUCGACCCGGCAGCCUCAAGACUCCAUGACGGCACAGCCUUCCACCACCUGGGACCCCCGAGACUGGCUCUGUGGGCACAGGACAGGGAGGCUCCUCCAGGGGGGCUGGCCGCCCAAGCCAUGCAGAAAAGGGCAGACUUGUGCACGAUGACGUCAAACAGCUUGCACGUCCCCUGGACCACAGUCUCUCCCGCAGCUUCCUGACAGGUGCCCCGAGGACCCCCGCUGACCCUGCCCAUCGGGGCCGGCCCACGCUCACGCCCUGGGUGGCGUGUGGUGGCUCAUUGUCCCCCAGCUCCUGAGGUUGCUCUUCAAAGUUGGAAAACACUCCGUUGGCUAAUCUUCGGGAUGUGUCCCGUCUUUAUUCUUCCAGGAAGUUCACAGAUUUCUCGCUCCCAAGGUCCCGACACCCUGGCGCUGAGUCCCCCCUGCAAGUCGGUCUGGCCGCCGAGCUGCUCAGCCGCAGGCACCUCCAGAAGCUCUGGGUCAGCGGCCCGGGACCUCGGGGUCUGGGCUGCCACUUGCUGCGCGCUCUGCACUCCUGCUGUUUGGACCUGGGCCUUGUUGGCCGGCGCCCUCCUCCCAUCUUGCCUUCGCUCCUCUGCUUCACUGUCUCCCGGGUUUACUGCCAAGAGGCCGGGGCUGCGGUUAGCAGGGCUUAACAACAACAGAAGAAUUUGGGAUGGUGACUAUUUGUGGCCCGCAAAGCCUACAGUAUUGACCACCUGGCCCUUUACAGAGAAGUCUGUCAACCCCUGAUCGGUGUCCCCCGACCUCAUCUCCCCGAGCCCGUGUCUCUCGUGUUGGAAGCCACUCACUCCCGUUUCAGCGUGGGUGCUGGGUCUGCCUGGCUGCCUCACGGUGGGACCCAUGUCUGCAUCCUCCAUCCCCAGCUCCCAGCUCCCACCAACCACCCAGCACCGCUAGGUCAGCCACCUGCUGCGGGGGAGGGCACAGGUCCCAGCCAAGCCGGCAGUGGCACACAGCCUCCAGCACUCAGAAGCCACUUGGCCCCUGAGAAGCCCCCUUUAUCGGGGUGAGACUUCUGGUGUCGGGCUGACAGCCUGGUUUCCUAGCCUGGACACCCUUUGUCUUCAGUGCUCUAGAAAUGAGCCCUGGUCUUCUGCUGGCAAGUGUGAGGAAAGGGCCGGCACCCGGCUGUGUAGGAAGGGGGGCAGCAGAGCACCCAGAGUGCCCGCUUCAUCCUCUUCCCGUGCAUGUCGUGUUGGAAGUACCACGAACACACGGGAACCGUACACGUCCAAGGUGCCCAACUGCUGUUCACAGGGGGGCCAGCCGAUGCUCCCAGCUGAGGACAGGAGCGGAGAGCAGCCCAGGCCCCACCACUCCCCUGCAGAGCAGCGUCCCGACUCCAAUGCUACAGCCGCAGCCGGGCUUCCUCCCUCGGGAGGAAGGUCCUGAUGCUGGGACCACAAUAAUCCCUGCACCCCGGGCCUGACUCUCGCUCACCGACACUGCUCAUGGUUGCCGACGGCCACACAUCCACGUCACUGUGCAGAAGUGCACACCGGUGGAUGCACCCCACUUUGUUCACCCCUUGUGCCGCUGAGUGCUCUUUGGGGCUCUACACCUGUGACAUCCCCGUCUGCCUCUGCGAAGUGCAGGCCAAAGCACUUCUUGCCGGAGAACCAGUCAGCUGCCCUGACUAUGAACACUGUUAAAUGUGUCCCCCAGUUUUACUGAGAUGCAAUCAUUACUACUCAUUUUUAAUAUAGGGUCGGAAUGAUGUACCCUUCAUUCUGGUAUCAGCAAUUUGUAAUUCCCCACCUUCAUUAGACUUUUCAAAGAGCCACUCCUGGCUUUCUGCUCUUUUCUGUUCCCCGUUUACAGAUCUUGGGGUUGGAAGGAGCAAGAGCAGCACCUCCUCCUGCUCC